UAAAUAAAUGAAAGCGCGCGCGAGCGAGAGGGGCUGGGGAGAGGAGGGAGCGAGGGAGCGCCCGGGACUCGCGACGGCGGCAGGUUCAAUUAGCUAAACAAAGAAAUCAUGGCGGAUUGUUUACAUUUGGCAGCGCCCGGGCCGAGCGGCCGCCGGCCCCCAGCCGCCGCGGCCCCCGAGGAGUCGGCUAGCUGCCCCCGCGCCCCGGCUGGAGAUUUGAAACUAUCGCUUUGCUGAAAACAUCUGGCUGCCGGUCUAGAAUAUGACUCAAGAUUCUCUAUCUACUGUGGUGAUGCUAUUAUUUGCUCUCGUUCUUGGUUUUCUUCAUGGACUUCAUUCACUUCUAUAGUUGUGACAUUAAAAGAGAGUUUUCUCCAGUUUUAAAACUUCC